UACGGGAGGCAGCAGUGGGGAAUAUUGCACAAUGGGCGCAAGCCUGAUGCAGCCAUGCCGCGUGUAUGAAGAAGGCCUUCGGGUUGUAAAGUACUUUCAGUCGUGAGGAAGGUGUUAAGGUUAAUAACCUUAGCAAUUGACGUUAGCGACAGAAGGAGCACCGGCUAACUCCGUGCCAGCAGCCGCGGUAAUACGGAGGGUGCGAGCGUUAAUCGGAAUUACUGGGCGUAAAGGGCACGCAGGCGGUUAAUUAAGUUGGAUGUGAAAUCCCCGGGCUUAACCUGGGAAUGGCAUUCAAGACUGGUUAGCUAGAGUCUUGUAGAGGGGGUAGAAUUCCAUGUGUAGCGGUGAAAUGCGUAGAGAUGUGGAGGAAUACCGGUGGCGAAGGCGGCCCCUGGGACAAAGACUGACGCUCAUGUGCGAAAGCGUGGGGAGCAAACAGGGAUUAGAUACC
rnacentral:rRNA from 1 species